rnacentral:piRNA from 2 species
UGGUCACACCCCAUAUUAAUGGACAGAUGGC